rnacentral:lncRNA from 1 species
GCUUGAAGGAAUUAUCAGCGAAGAAAACAUGAGAGCGAUUAGAUGGUCAUUGGGACUGUAUAUGAAAUAUUGGGAAAAGUCUAGGUUAGCAUUCCAACUUAGAAUGCAGCCCAUGCCUUCUCUUUCAACCCAACAUCAUGCAUGUGCAUGAAAAACUUGCUGUCGAAGAGGUUGUGAAAGCCACAGUGCUACAACUUGAGCAAGGACAAGGGCCCCCUACCAUUUGCCCCAACUAGACCUAGUCACCACCAAUAAGUUUUCUUACUCAAACCUUUUAUUUAGCCAUCAUAUCCUUUUAGAGGGUGAGAUAACAAAUAGAUAAGACAGAAACUUCCUCUGUUUCAAAUACAAAAUAAGAAAAUAGUAGAA